GGGUUUGUUGACAGCUCCGGGAGUCGGGGCCUUGGGGGAGCAGCAGCUUUCUCAGUCGUACGAAGAACAGCAAGGCUGGGGCCCAGCCCUCCACUCCGAGCUUGCUCAGUGGCACCCUUAGUCCUGGGUGCUAGCAGCAUUGGGUUCAGCCCAUUCACAGGCCACAGACAGACACCUGUCUCAGCAGGAAAUGGAGUGGUAAAGAGGACAGGUUUGGGGCCGGUGCUGCGGCUCACUAGGCUAAUCCUCCGCCUUGCGGCGCCAGCACACUGGGUUCUAGUCCCGGUCGGGGCGCCGGAUUCUUUCCCGGUUGCCCCUCUUCCAGGCCAGCUCUCUGCUGUGGCCCGGGAAGGCAGUGGAGGAUGGCCCAAGUGCUUGGGCCCUGCACCCCAUGGGAGACCAGGAGAAGUACCCUGGCUCCUGCCAUCGGAUCAGCGUGGUGCACUGGCUGCAGCACGCCGGCCGCGGCGGCCAUUGGAGGGUGAACCAACAGCAAAAAGGAAGACCUUUCUCUCUGUCUCUCUCUCUCACUGUCCACUCUGCCUGUCAAAAAAAAAAAAAAAAAAAAAAGGACAGGUUUGGGCUCUGCCCGCAGGGAGCCAUCCUGGUGGGGAGCCAGCCUGUUACCCUGCACUUGGCUACCUAAGAAGCUGUGCCAGAGCAGGAAGCGCAGCGGAGACAGUGCAACAGAGCUGUGGCAUAGGGCAGGUCAGGGGUGCAAGUCAGGUGGCCAGGGCGCUCAGGGCGCGGUGCCUGGCUCUGGAGCUGACCUGGGAGCCACCUGUGCCGACGGGGGCCAGCUGGCCACGAGAGCACCAACCACAUGGAAGCAGCCCUGGGUGCUCUGUAGUACCUGCCGUCUUCCACGAAAUGCCCCAUUUCAUGACUUCCUCCUCGGGGCUGGGUGCUGCCUCGGAUCAUUAGGCGCUGUGUCACGAAGGCCCAGUGCUCCGUUCAAGUGCUGCCUCAUCACGUGGGCCUCAGCCUGCACCUCUCUACCAAGGGCCGCCUGGGACGGCACCCCACACAUAUCACCAGCGAAAGGGCCCGUCUCAUUUUCUCCACGGAAGGACUGUCACACAGCCUCAAGUCGUUCCUCCUCCUGUGUACAUGCCCCUCGCCUGGGACUCCGCGGCUCCUCCCACCUGAAGGCAUCUGCUCUUCACCUUUGCCAUGGAUUUGUCACGUGACUUGCAUUGCCAAACAUGGCGUCGGCACUCACUGUCUUGCCGGGAGACUGCCUUGGGGUUGAGUCCGGCUCAGCUGCUGCUGUGGGACGAGAUGCCAAGUGGGGACCCAAAUGGCCAUGGCCAGCAGAACUGCCGAUGACAGACACGGGAGGGAUCCUUUCUAGAACUCUGCCAGCCGCAGAUGACCUGCAGAGCCCUGCAGACCUUGAUGAGGCCAGCACCCAGCUGCCCCACAGGAUGGGGUCGUAAAUAGAAGUAACUGUCGUAAAGCAUUACAUCCUGGGAUGCUUUGCUGGGCUGCAGAGGUGAGUGGGCGCAUGUCGUCUGUGCCAGUGAGCAGGUGACGCCCCCGCAGGGCCCCGCAGGGCCCCACCAAAGGCAGGUGGACCCCUGGCUGUUGCACAGCUCCCCCAGGCUGGCCAGCCCUGCACGAGCAGUACUGCUCAAGGCCUAGCUGACAGGCAGCGAGUCUCUGCCCCUCGGAUCUGCAGGAUGGGCUCUGCCCAUCGGCACCAGACACUUGGGAAGCUGCUAGGGAAUUGCACCAGCAAGCUCUCUCUGCCAUGCCUCUCACAGCCCCUCCUGGUGCUCGGAAGCCCACACUCUAUCCCCUACACAGCUCCUGCUGGGCUUGCCUGCCUCGCACUAGUCUUGGAUGGUGACCCCAGGUAGGCACUUUGCUCUUCCACCUGCCGUGGACCCACUGCUGUCUGCCCCAGCACGGCCAUGGGUUCCCCACAGCCUCAUCUGGCCACUGGCUGACUGAUGACCAGGGAGUUUUUUUGCUUUCCUAAAUCCUGACACCAUGCAGUAUGAGCUUUGACUGACAGGCACGUGGGUGCCGAGUGCCAGCCUGCUGGUGUCCCUAGCUCCUCUGCACCAGCUCAUCACCCUGUGAUCCCCGCAGCAGUGGUGAUGACCUGAUGUGUUACCUGUCUCCCCCAGACGUCAGCUCAGUGAGGCUGGCCUGGCUCCUCUGCUCCCCAUCAGGUCCCCAGAGCCUGGCAGGUGCCCAUCACACAGCAGGCACCUGGGAGCUGUUGCUCAGUAGGUGGAGUGGGGUCUGGAGGGCUGCAGGCUGAGGUAUGUUGAGAGGGGCCCCCCACAGCCUGCACCCCCUGCCACCCUUCCAGGCAGCUCUGGCCCCACCAACAUCGUCCAAGUUGCCAGGCUGCCGCGCUCUGCAGGGGCGGGAGACGUCAGCCGAGCUGAGAGCGAUCCUGGAAGUGACAGGUGCUUCUUAGCUCCGGGCGUGCCCCAGGCCCAGGCUGAAUUGGCUGUCGCAGCAGCCCCUGUUUCCUGGGCUAAUUGGGGAAGGAGGGUGGGGAAGGGGAGGGAACCAGAGGUAGAGGAAGCUCUGUUCCCCGCCCCGACCAAAGGUGAGCCAGGCUCGCUUGUAAAGCACUGAGCCUGUGUGUGUGUGUGUGUGUGUGUGUGUGUGUGUGUGUGUGCAGAGAGAGAGAGAGGGAAACAGACACACACAGAGACAGACACAGGCAAUCACAGGGCUGCAGGCACAAACCAGGGCUGGAGGCAGUGUGGGGGAGGGCCGCCUUUGUCGCUGGAGCAGACUGGAAGUUGGGGAGUGGGGAGGGCCUGUGUGAUGCAAACCCAGUAACGAGGCUGCCAAGGGGCUCUCAAAAUAACUUCAUUAUUAAAAAAUAAAAAUCAUGGGCUGGCAUUGCGGUGCA
rnacentral:lncRNA from 1 species